rnacentral:rRNA from 1 species
UCGUGGGACACGGAGGAUCAUUACCGAGUUACACUCCCAACCCCUGUGAACAUACCUUAAUGUUGCCUCGGCGGAUCAGCCCGCGCCCCGUAAAACGGGACGGCCCGCCAGAGGACCCAAACUCUAAUGUUUCUUAUUGUAACUUCUGAGUAAAACAAACAAAUAAAUCAAAACUUUCAACAACGGAUCUCUUGGUUCUGGCAUCGAUGAAGAACGCAGCAAAAUGCGAUAAGUAAUGUGAAUUGCAGAAUUCAGUGAAUCAUCGAAUCUUUGAACGCACAUUGCGCCCGCUGGUAUUCCGGCGGGCAUGCCUGUUCGAGCGUCAUUUCAACCCUCAAGCCCCCGGGUUUGGUGUUGGGGAUCGGCUCUGCCUUCUGGCGGUGCCGCCCCCGAAAUACAUUGGCGGUCUCGCUGCAGCCUCCAUUGCGUAGUAGCUAACACCUCGCAACUGGAACGCGGCGCGGCCAUGCCGUAAAACCCCAACUUCUGAAUGUUGACCUCGGAUCAGGUAGGAAUACCCGCUGAACUUAAGCAUAUCAUAGNCCGGGAGG